UGCCAGCAGCCGCGGUAAUACGUAGGUGGCAAGCGUUAUCCGGAAUUAUUGGGCGUAAAGCGCGCGUAGGCGGUUUUUUAAGUCUGAUGUGAAAGCCCACGGCUCAACCGUGGAGGGUCAUUGGAAACUGGAAAACUUGAGUGCAGAAGAGGAAAGUGGAAUUCCAUGUGUAGCGGUGAAAUGCGCAGAGAUAUGGAGGAACACCAGUGGCGAAGGCGACUUUCUGGUCUGUAACUGACGCUGAUGUGCGAAAGCGUGGGGAUCAAACAGGAUUAGAUACCCUGGUAGUCC
rnacentral:rRNA from 1 species